rnacentral:rRNA from 1 species
AACGAACGCUGGCGGCGUGCUUAACACAUGCAAGUCGAACGAGAAAAUGUAGCAAUACAUGAGUAAAGUGGCGCACGGGUCCGUAACACGUGGUAAUCUACCUUCAGGCGAGGGACAACCUGUCGAAAGACGGGCUAAUACCUCAUAAGACCACGAGAUCGAGAGAUCUUGAGGUUAAAGGUGGCCUCUAUUUAUAAGCUAUCACCUGUAGAUGAACACGCGCACCAUCAGCUUGUUGGUGAGGUAAAAGCUCACCAAGGCCUAGACGGUUAGCUGGUCUGAGAGGACGACCAGCGACACUGGAACGGAGACACGGUCCAGACUCCUACGGGAGGCAGCAGUGGGGAAUUUUGGACAAUGGGCGAAAGCCUGAUCCAGCAACGCCGCGUGAGUGAUGAAGGCCUUCGGGUUGUAAAGCUCUGUCGGAGGGAACGAAUAAAGGCCACCUAAUACGUGGCCAUAUGACGGUACUCUCAAAGGAAGCAACGGCUAACUCUGUGCCAGCCGCCGCGGUAA